GGCCCCGCACAAGCAGCGGAGCGUGUGGUUUAAUUCGAUGUUACACGAAGAACCUUACCAGGGUUUGACAUGCAAGUGGUAGGAAACUGAAAAGGGACCGACCCUUCGGGGAGCUUGCACAGGUGCUGCAUGGCUGUCGUCAGCUCGUGUCGUGAGAUGUUCGGUUAAGUCCGCUAACGAGCGCAACCCUCGCUGUGUGUUACAAGUGUCACACGGUACUGCCGGUCUUAAGCCGGAGGAAGGUGGGGAUGACGUCAAGUCAGCAUGGCCUUUAUAUCCUGGGCUACACACACGCUACAAUGGCCAACACAAUAGGUUGCUAAAUCGCGAGAUGGAGCCAAUCCAAUAAAGUUGGUCUCAGUUCAGAUUGUAGGCUGCAACUCGCCUGCAUGAAGAUGGAGUUGCUAGUAAACGCAGGUCAGCUAUACUGCGUUGAAUACGUUCCCGGGGCUU
rnacentral:rRNA from 1 species